rnacentral:rRNA from 1 species
GACGAACGCUGGCGGCGUGCUUAACACAUGCAAGUCGAGCGGGAAACUUCGGUUUCCAGCGGCGGACGGGUGAGUAACACGUGGGCAACCUGCCUUACACUGCGGGAUAGCCCUCCGAAAGGAGGAUUAAUACCUCAUAACACAAGAGAAACGCAUGUUUUUCUUGUCAAAGAAUUUCGUUGUGAGAUGGGCCCGCGGCGCAUUAGCAUGUUGGUGAGGUAACGGCUCACCAAGGCUUCGAUGCGUAGCCGACCUGAGAGGGUGAUCGGCCACAUUGGAACUGAGACACGGUCCAGACUCCUACGGGAGGCAGCAGUGGGGAAUAUUGCACAAUGGAGGAAACUCUGAUGCAGCAACGCCGCGUGAGUGAUGAAGGUCUUCGGAUUGUAAAGCUCUGUCUUCUGGGACGAUAAUGACGGUACCAGAGGAGGAAGCCACGGCUAACUACGUGCCAGCAGCCGCCGUAA